rnacentral:lncRNA from 1 species
CUUGAAAUCAUAGAGUCGUCUGCACUCGACAAAUCAAGGUUCCCCCAUAUCGGUGGCUCACCCCCACCGAAGCACUGAAGUCAGUGAUAGCUGGAAGAUACGCCUCUUCAUGGCAUCCGUUCGUCACUCUGGCCACACAACACCCCAUAUCAUGUCGGGCUAAAAUCCCCUUAAAACUACUCUCUCUCUCUCUCCCCGUCACUCUGAGUGAGGAGUUUCCGAAUGCCGAUUGCCGUUUUUUCCCUUGUAAAGAGCUGCGAGAUGUAGACAUCAGUUUGUAACCCGG